GACAAAAUUUUACAGAUGGUCAGAGAAAACAUUUGCAGUUUAUAUGAGAGUUGAAAACACCUCUAUACAAAUGAGAACAUCAUCUUCAAAAAGCUACAUGACCCCUCUACAUCCAUCUCAUCAUUAUAUAAUUGAUAGAUUUGAAUGCUUAAUCUCUAUUGCUAUUUCUGUUGCUAACAUAACAUUCAAUACCUGAUGAUAAGUACUACUAUUGAUGGAGAUAUUAGAAUUGAAGUUUUCUUAUGGAUGUAUACUAAUAUGUAUGAAGUAAUAGAAUUCAGAAUAGAGAGCACCCACCUGCCACUAUCUGCCCUCUGUGAAUAGAAUAUGUCUCAUAAAAAGCACUCUGUCUACAUACCCACCUGCCUCCACGUAUAGAGAAUCACUGAUUCACCAAUAGAUAUUGAUCAAUGGUGGUGGUGGUUGGAUGGAGCGAUUGGAGCACUUUAUCUACCUACCUACCUACCUCAACGAAUAGCGAAUAAUCUCUUAUAGAGAGCACCCUAGCUGCCAGCCUGCCACUACUGGCUUACAACGUGACAAUGAAUGGAAGCAGAAUCUCUCAUAGAGCUUCUCUAUUCAUGGAGGUAGGUAGGCAGCUAUCACUCCAUCCAGCCGCCACCACCACCAAUCUAUAUCUACUAAUGAUUUUCUAUUCGUUGAGGUAGGUAGCUAGAUAGAGUGCUCCAAUCGCUCCAUCCAACCGCUAACACCAUUGAUCAAUAUCUAUUAAUGCGCAUAUACAUUUGUUUCUAUAGUAUCUAGCUAGGUAUUUUAAUAUAAAAUAGAAUGAUUUGGU
rnacentral:sRNA from 1 species